GAGCAAAUGAUUAUCAGCUGCCUAUCCUCCCUUAUGUAUUCAGUGCCUUCUGUGCUGCUGUUCUCUGUCUCUGGUGCUCCCAAAUACUUUUUGGCUGCUGAUGGCCUCCCUUCAGGAAGCUGACUGAGUACUGCCAGCUGGAUUGCCAAUUCUGCAGUGUUUCUUCACUUAGGCAGUCAGAUGACUGCUCCCUCGUGCCUGAAAAAAGCCAGCAGUUGAGAACCAGCUAAUGUACUGCAUACAUAAGCCUUGCUGUGUGUAGGGGCUUAUACCUCACAGACUGUCCUGAAACCCCUCUCUGGAGUCCAGCGCUUGUGUCUUUCCAUUUGUGCUCAGCUCCGUGCAGGUCUGCCUGCAGUUCAGGUAUUGAUUGCAUUGAUCUGAGUUGUGUAAUCCUAGAUGAUGCAAAUUCUUACAAUGCGGAACAGAAAGAAUAAAAGAAAAACUGUGUGGGCCCUAAUCCUUUCUCACAGGCUCUAUUUUGUGAUGCCACACCAUUCUGCAGUGCUAGUCUUGCCUCCAAGAGCUGUCUGGUUCUUGUUCAACCUUAUACUGGACCUCCUUUUAAGGGAGUGUGAAUUGAAAGACCAUCAACAGUCAGAAGUGAUGCUAUUUCAUACGUCUUCAAAUCAGAAACUGCAGACAAUGGUUUUGAAGGAUAAUCAACCAGUCCACAGGGAAGAUUUAGAAGAAAGGUCACAGAUAGUCAGCUUCAAGUGGCACACAUGCUUUCUGAUUGUGAAGCUGCUGCAGCUGAAGCACAAAAUGUGCUGAGCAGCCCUUUUCUCUAAUGGAGCUAAAGCUGGCCAGUACAGCUUCAUGAUAUGCGCAGAUUCUAUAAGAAAUAAAUUUCACGUAUUUAAAAUUCA
rnacentral:lncRNA from 1 species